CAGAGAUCCCACAUAGGUCAUGAUCACCAACAAUAUUAAAGACACCUUUCGCUGUGGGAUUAGGCUAAUGAACAGUAUAAUCCAAACAAAAUGAGUAUAAUAUAACGCAAAAUGGCUCAGGUUUCUAAUGAUUCUUUGAGCAGCUGCUUCUGGGCUUGAAGGGAUUUUAAAGGGACAAACCAUUUUGAAUUCUGCACGCUUGAAGUCGUUCCAAUUUGUUCCUGUUGUUGAAUCUCUGAGGUCACUGGAAUCAACUGUGGUGACUGAUCUUGGGGUGGCGCUUGGCCUCUGAAUUGCUCCAUAGCUAGCCAUGUCUCUUGAUUACAGAGAUAUAAUCUAAAAGUUUAUAAGGAUGAGCUCUUGGAUAUAAACGGUCAAAUAUGAAGUGUGAGC
rnacentral:misc_RNA from 1 species